UGGGGAAUAUUGCACAAUGGGCGCAAGCCUGAUGCAGCCAUGCCGCGUGUAUGAAGAAGGCCUUCGGGUUGUAAAGCACUUUCAGCGAGGAGGAAGGGUGGUGUGUUAAUAGCACAUCACAUUGACGUUACUCGCAGAAGAAGCACCGGCUAACUCCGUGCCAGCAGCCGCGGUAAUACGGAGGGUGCAAGCGUUAAUCGGAAUUACUGGGCGUAAAGCGCACGCAGGCGGUUUGUUAAGUCAGAUGUGAAAUCCCCGCGCUUAACGUGGGAACUGCAUUUGAAACUGGCAAGCUAGAGUCUUGUAGAGGGGGGUAGAAUUCCAGGUGUAGCGGUGAAAUGCGUAGAGAUCUGGAGGAAUACCGGUGGCGAAGGCGGCCCCCUGGACAAAGACUGACGCUCAGGUGCGAAAGCGUGGGGAGCAAACA
rnacentral:rRNA from 1 species